UACGAAGGGAGCUAGCGUUGUUCGGAAUCACUGGGCGUAAAGCGCACGUAGGCGGAUGUGUCAGUCAGGGGUGAAAUCCCGGAGCUCAACUUCGGAACUGCCUUUGAUACAGCACGUCUUGAGUCCGAUAGAGGUGGGUGGAACUGCGAGUGUAGAGGUGAAAUUCGUAGAUAUUCGCAAGAACACCAGUGGCGAAGGCGGCUCACUGGCCCGGUACUGACGCUGAGGCACGGAAAGCGUGGGGAGCAAACAGG
rnacentral:rRNA from 1 species